CACCGCGGUUAGACGAGAGGCCCUAGUUGAUAAUACAACGGCGUAAAGGGUGGUUAGGGAAUACAAUAUAAUAAAGCCGAAUGGCCCCUUGGCUGUUAUACGCUUCUAGACGUCCGAAGUCCUUAUACGAAAGUAGCUUCAAUUUAAAUUACCCGACCCCACGAAAGCUAAGAAA
rnacentral:rRNA from 1 species